GGCAGAAGUGCAAGCCGCAUUUCACUUGAUGCUGUACAAGAUGACGGGAAAAAGUAUCAAAGAUGAAUAUUUAAUGAACACAGAAUCAGGUAGAAGCAAGGAACUUCUCCACUCAAAAUAAAAUUUCUAUAUAUAACCCAAUUUCUUGACCAUAUUCCCAUCUAUGAUCUUGCAACUAGUAGAAUCCUAUCAAAGCUGCCAUCGUUGCGUACAGAAUGGAAAAUUUUUAGCUCCUUUCUGUCCUGAACCCCCACAACUAGUAUCAAAUCAGUUGUAUCUCUUAAGAAGCAUCUGGCUUUUAGCUUUCAUUUCUGCCCGUUAAGCUUAAUUUCACAAUUUGCAAUUUGGAUUCUAGAUCUCAUUUAGCCGUUCGCUUAUUUUUCCCUCACUGAGGAGCUCCAUGAAUUUGAGGAAAGUGAACGGAACUCCGAAGCUGAUAGUUCUUUGCAGUCCUUACGAAUACCCCAUAGAAUCUCUGCACAUUUCCUCAUGGCUGGCCGGCCUUGUCUGCCUGGGGCCAAACACUGUAAGGCUAAUUCAAGAAUCUUCUCAAUGAGCAAGUUAGUUACUGCAGUACGUUCCAGCCUUGGGUCCAAGAUUGCAAUUGCAUCAUCCUCAGCAAACUUCUUCAUGGCCUGUGUUCAUUCAUAUCAACCCAAUUCACAACAGAGAGAACUCAAUUAAAGAAAAAAAAAAUCUUAUUUAUCACUCAAGAUUUUUGGCUCCUUCCAAUAAAAUUGGAAAACAAAUGGACGACUUGAGAAUAUCUCGCAUAGAUUCUACAUAGCGUCAUCUAUGGUGGCCAUUGUCACUCCCUAGAUAACUGUAGAAAUGUAAGUUUAAAAUUACCAGUUCACCACAGAAGUUAAAUUUAAUAGUUUACAAAUGGACGACGUGAUUUUAUAAUUACCACUCCCUAGAUAACUGUAUAAGUGGACAUUUACCUGUUUACAAAAUUAUGCAAAAUGAGAAGGUAAAGAAUAUCGUACCCAUCUUGCAGUUAGCCGCUCCUUGAGUUCCCUUUUUGGUUCAAUAGGCCGCCUACCAGUUACUAGUUCAACGAGUAACACACCAAAUGAAUAGACGUCACUCUUCUCAGUAAGUUGAUACGUCUUCAGGUAUUCUGGAUCCAAGUAGCCAGCAGUUCCUUUCACUUGAGUGGAGACAUGGGUGGCACCUGAAUCAGUGUCAGCUGCCAAUCUAGCAAAACCGAAAUCAGUUACCUUGGCUCUAAAAUUUUCAGUGAGGAGAAUGUUGGAAGACUUUAUAUCCCUGUGAAUAAUCGGGUGAUCUACAAGGAAAGUAAACAAUUAAUCCAAUUAUAUCUCAUACGACAAUUUCUAUAAGCCUCACAGAAGAGCAUAGCUCUAAUUUCAUAGAAGUGAACUAGCUGGGUUCCAUCAAAAGAAAACCUGUAUACGCGUGUAGAUAGGUGACUGCAUGAGCCACAUCAAUUGCAAUAUCUAGGCGCACAGCAAGAUCAAGAACGUUUCCAUGCACGCCUUCAUUAAUUUGCUUCUCAAGUUAAUUGGAUUAAGAUCAUGUACACAGUUAAGACAAAGGAACAGGAAUAAUGUCACAUAAAAAUAACUCACAAUCCAAGUGUUCUCUGAGCGUUCCAUUAGGAACAUACUCCAUGACGACAAUUCUUUCUUCUUCUUGUUGCAAAAACCCAUAGAACUUUACUAGAUUCAAGUGCUCCACUUGUGCUAGCGUCCGAAUCUCACUCUUAAAUUCUACACCCAAAUGUUUAUCGUGUACACUCUUCUUGGCACGCUUGAUUGCAACAAGGGUUCCAUCUUGAAGUCUCCCCUUGUAUACAGUCCCAAAGCCACCUUGUCCAAUCUUGAAGGAUGGGGAAAAGUUCCUUGUAGCUUUGUAGAUUUCUUCCAUGGUGAAUUUUACACUCCCAGGCUCUCUUCCAUGAGUUGAAUUCUGAGGACUGCCAUAGAUACCUGAAGUUCGUCUUCUGUCUCUGCUCGAUCCCGUUGCAUCGGAAAAGACAGAGGGAGUUUUGAACUCUUCAGAUUCUCCGAAAUUCUCGGAGUUGAUCGUCUCGGGUGGUGUAAAGCAGGUCACGAACAAUCCGGCCACCGAUUUUGCAGCGACUGCCAGCGAAUUCCGCUUCCUGACGGUGGAGGCAUCAGAGUAUGAGGAGCUCGGUGAGUAAUAGAAGCGGUCGUGCGUUGACCGUGCGCUGGACCUAGCGUUCCGGCAACCGUAUACGGACUGAGAACUUUUCAUUAAUAGCAGAGAGAGAAAGAGAGAGAGAGA
rnacentral:misc_RNA from 1 species